rnacentral:rRNA from 1 species
CAAUAGCGUAUAUUAAAGUUGUUGCAGUUAAAACGCUCGUAGUUGGAUUUCUGUCGAAAUUAACCAUUCCGGCCUUGUGCUUGUGGAUGUGUCGGUUUUGGCAUUCUGCUGAAUUCGGAAAUCUUCACCGAUUCUCCUGUUUUCAGCACUUUUACUUUGAGAAAAUUAGAGUGUUUCAAGCAGGCAUUUGCCUUGAAUACGUUAGCAUGGAAUAAUGAGAUAGGACUUUGGUUCUAUUUGUUGGUUCUAGAACUAGAGUAAUGAUUAAUAGGGAUAGUUGGGGGCAUUCGUAUUUAACUGUCAGAGGUGAAAUUCUUGGAUUUGUUAAAGACGAACUACUGCGAAAGCAUUUGCCAAGGAUGUUUUCAUUAA